rnacentral:rRNA from 1 species
GACGAACGCUGGCGGCGUGCCUAAUACAUGCAAGUAGAACGCUGAAGGAGGAGCUUGCUUCUCUGGAUGAGUUGCGAACGGGUGAGUAACGCGUAGGUAACCUGCCUGGUAGCGGGGGAUAACUAUUGGAAACGAUAGCUAAUACCGCAUAAGAGUAGAUGUUGCAUGACAUUUGCUUAAAAGGUGCAAUUGCAUCACUACCAGAUGGACCUGCGUUGUAUUAGCUAGUUGGUGGGGUAACGGCUCACCAAGGCAACGAUACAUAGCCGACCUGAGAGGGUGAUCGGCCACACUGGGACUGAGACACGGCCCAGACUCCUACGGGAGGCAGCAGUAGGGAAUCUUCGGCAAUGGACGGAAGUCUGACCGAGCAACGCCGCGGGAGUGAAGAAGGGUUUCGGAUCGUAAAGCUCUGUUGUAAGAGAAGAACGAGUGUGAGAGUGGAAAGUUCACACUGUGACGGUAUCUUACCAGAAAGGGACGGCUAACUACGUG